GAUGAACGCUAGCUACAGGCUUAACACAUGCAAGUCGAGGGGCAGCAUGAAAGUUUGCUUGCAAACUUUUGAUGGCGACCGGCGCACGGGUGAGUAACACGUAUCCAACCUGCCUUCAACUCAGGGAUAGCCUUUCGAAAGAAAGAUUAAUACUUGAUGGCAUAACCUGGUCUCCUGACUUGGUUAUUAAAGAAUUUCGGUUGAAGAUGGGGAUGCGUUCCAUUAGGCAGUUGGCGGGGUAACGGCCCACCAAACCUACGAUGGAUAGGGGUUCUGAGAGGAAGGUCCCCCACAUUGGAACUGAGACACGGUCCAA
rnacentral:rRNA from 1 species